AACUAUAAAGCACUCAUAAGGGAAAAGAGAAGAAACCAUAAAGCACUCAUAGCCUGAAUAAGAACAACACCUAUACAGUGAGCAAGCCAGAAGAAUCAAAUCCCCAGUAAGUGUUCAUUAGGGAAUUUGCAUCCAGCAUGAUUACCUUGCAAUACUCCUUAAUUCAUGCAUGAAUAAUAUUGGUUUAGUAUAUAUAUUAAGAUGAUGUAUUCAUGGUUUGGUGGAUGUUGAUAUUGCUUUAUUCAAGUAUACAUCUG
rnacentral:lncRNA from 1 species